rnacentral:rRNA from 1 species
UAGGGAAUAUUGGUAAUCUGGGAAACCGGGAACCAGCAACGCCGCGUGCGCGAUGAAGGCCUUCGGGUUGUAAAGCGCUUUUUGAGAGGAUGAGGAAGGACAGUACUCUUAGAGUAAGCCUCGGCUACCUACGUGCCAGCAGCCGCGGUAAAACGUAGGAGGCGAGCGUUAUCCGGAUUUACUGGGCGUAAAGCGUGUGUAGGCGGUUUGAUAAGUUGGAUGUGAAAGCUCCUGGCUUAACUGGGAGAGGUCGUUCAAAACUAUCAGACUUGAGAGUGGUAGAGGGAGGGUGAAUUCCGCAUGUAGUGGUGAGAUGCGUAGAUAUGCGGAGGAACACCAGUGGCGAAAGCGGCCUCCUGGCCCAUUUCGGACGCUCAGACACGAAAGCUAAGGUAGCAAACG